rnacentral:misc_RNA from 1 species
GAUGAAGAACGUAGCGAAAUGCGAUAAGUAAUGUGAAUUGCAGAAUUCAGUGAAUCAUCGAAUCUUUGAACGCACAUUGCGCCCGCCAGUAUUCUGGCGGGCAUGCCUGUUCGAGCGUCAUUUCAACCAUCAAGCCCCCGGGCUUGUGUUGGGGACCUGCGGCUGCCGCAGGCCCUGAAAAGCAGUGGCGGGCUCGCUGUCACACCGAGCGUAGUAGCAUACAUCUCGCUCUGGGCGUGCUGCGGGUUCCGGCCGUUAAACUACCCUUUUAACCCAAGGUUGACCUCGGAUCAGGUAGGAAGACCCGCUGAACUUAAGCAUAUCAAUAAGCGAGGA